rnacentral:rRNA from 1 species
UACGUAGGGGGCUAGCGUUGUCCGGAUUUAUUGGGCGUAAAGAGCGUGUAGGCGGCCAGGUAGGUCUGCUGUGAAAACUCGAGGCUCAACCUCGAGACGUCGGCGGAAACCAUCUGGCUAGAGUCCGGAAGAGGAGAGUGGAAUUCCUGGUGUAGCGGUGAAAUGCGCAGAUAUCAGGAAGAACACCCGUGGCGAAGGCGGCACUCUGGGCCGAUACUGACACUGAGGAGCGAAAGCGUGGGGAGCGAACAGG